ACCCUGAGUCUCUUUGCUUUGGGGAGAUUAAGUGCAGCUCUCUGCUUCGGAUGCCCCAAAAGACUGGAGUUCAGAGGCAGGCUUUGGGGAGCUGACCGUAGCACAGAGAUGCCUGAUAAUAGUGAAGGACACACUCAUCGGUAGAUUGACCUGCUGAGGAGUUCAGAACUAAAUGUCCUGUGGGAAGGAAUGCAAGGAGGAGUAAAGAACGAGAGCAAUGACUGAAAAGGGACCCAUCCCCCUGGCCGAGGUUAGAGACAUAAAUGGAAGAAACUUGUGCAUUCCCAUUUGUAUGCAGGAUAGUUUCUUGAAGGUUGAAAAGAUGUUUUCUGAUAAACAAGAUGCCUGACCCAUAAGAAACCUUGACUUUUCUUCAACAUGAUGAGAUCAGAGAUGCCUUGCAAGAAACCAAAGCAGACGAGAAACUGAACAUUGAGGAUUGUUCUGAUUAUCUAUCUUCUGAUUAUCUAUCACCGCACAACAUAUUUUCCUAAAAUCAUUUAUUUUGUCAACUGACUUUUAUGUCUCAGGACACAAAAGCUAAGAGGACAUUUUUAUUUUUACUUUUUUUCCCUGAUCCACAAAGUCUAAGGCUUAAGUUGGGAGACUGGCAGCCUGAGGUGAAGCCCUGAGGGCUGGUCAUUAUAGGAGACCCAUUCUCUUCGAAGGUUGCCUUGUGGAUCUUGGCAGAAAGUGUGGCCCCAUGCUUGUGGUGGCCUCUGCAGUGCACCCAAGGAUAACAAGGCAGUGGACUCUGAAGGAUGAAUAGCCCAGCAGAGCCAGAGGAGGUGGGCACUUUUGUGGGACUGGGAAGUCCUCAGCAUCGUUCUCCUCUUCUCCAAGCCGUCACAGGAGACGUGGAGUUUCUGUGAGGGGAGGAGGAUGCAGGCAGUGACAGGGAACUGACACAGGUCUAGAAGAACAUGUAAGAGCUUAACUUUUGUUUUAUUGACCUGCAAAAGAACUUUGGACUAUCCUCUAGAUAAUGUAUAUUGUGGGAGGAUUUUAGUAUCACAGACCCGUGGUCAGAUUUUUGUUUGAGCUAAAAAAAAAUUCUGAGAUCCUUCCUGUUUGCUCAGACUGGAGAAAGAUCAACCUCCGAGGCAUCUACAGCAAUAACCAUGUGACAGGUGAGAGACAAGUCACCUGCUUUUAGGGCU